AGAGCGUUCUAUGUGUGAAGAAGGUGUACCGUGAGGAGCGCUGGAACGCAUAGAAGUGAGAAUGCCGGUAUGAGUAGCGAAAGACAGGUGAGAAUCCUGUCCACCGUAAGACUAAGGUUUCCAGGGGAAGGCUCGUCCGCCCUGGGUUAGUCGGGACCUAAGGAGAGACCGAAAGGUGUAUCCGAUGGCCAACAGGUUGAUAUUCCUGUACUAGAGUAUAAAGUGAUGGAGGGACGCAGUAGGCUAACUAAAGCAGGCGAUUGGAAGAGCCUGUCUAAGCAGUGAGGUGUAAGAUGAGUCAAAUGCUUAUCUUUAUAACAUUGAGCUGUGAUGGGGAGCGAAGUUAAGUAGCGAAGUUAGUGACGUCACACUGCCAAGAAAAGCUUCUAGCGUUUAAUUAUACUCUACCCGUACCGCAAACCGACACAGGUAGUCGAGGAGAGUAUCCUAAGGUGAGCGAGAGAACUCUCGUUAAGGAACUCGGCAAAAUGACCCCGU
rnacentral:rRNA from 1 species